rnacentral:rRNA from 1 species
AACGAACGCUGGCGGCAUGCCUAACACAUGCAAGUCGAACGAGACCUUCGGGUCUAGUGGCGCACGGGUGCGUAACGCGUUGGAAUCUGCCCUUGGGUUCGGAACAACAGUUAGAAAUGACUGCUAAUACCGGAUGAUGACGUAAGUACAAAGAUUUAUCGCCCAAGGAUGAGCCCGCGUAAGAAUAGGUAGUUGGUGGGGUGAAGGCCUACCAAGCCGACGAUCUUUAGCUGGUCUGAGAGGAUGAUCAGCCACACUGGGACUGAGACACGGCCCAGACUCCUACGGGAGGCAGCAGUGGGGAAUAUUGGACAAUGGGCGAAAGCCUGAUCCAGCAAUGCCGCGUGAGUGAUGAAGGCCUUAGGGUUGUAAAGCUCUUUUACCAGGGAUGAUAAUGACAGUACCUGGAGAAUAAGCUCCGGCUAACUCCGUGCCAGCCGCCGCAGUAA